rnacentral:rRNA from 1 species
GAUGAACGCUAGCGGCAGGCCUAAUACAUGCAAGUCGGACGGGAUUCAGGAGCUUGCUUCUGCUGAGCGUGGCGCACGGGUGCGUAACACGUAUGUAAACUACCUUUAUCAGGGGGAUAGCCUCUCGAAAGAGAGAUUAAGCCCGCAUAAAAUCACAGCACAUCUUUGUUUAAUGAUCAAAUAUUUAUGGGAUAAAGAUGGGCAUGCGGAACAUUAGCUAGAUGGCGGGGUAACGGCCCACCAUGGCGACGAUGUUUAGGGGAACUGAGAGGAUGGCCCCCGAGACUGGUACUGAGACCAGGACCAGACUCCUACGGGAGGCAGCAGUAAGGAAUAUAGGGCAAUGGGCGGAAGCCUGAACCAGCCAUGCCGCGUGCAGGAAGACGGCCCUACGGGUUGUAAACUGCUGUUAUACGGGAAUAAACCCAGAUACGUGUAUCUGGCUGAAUGUACUGUAAGAAUAAGGAACGGCUAACUCCGUG